rnacentral:rRNA from 1 species
GAUGAACGCUGGCGGCGUGCCUAAUACAUGCAAGUCGAGCGAACAGACGAGGAGCUUGCUCCUCUGACGUUAGCGGCGGACGGGUGAGUAACACGUGGAUAACCUACCUAUAAGACUGGGAUAACUUCGGGAAACCGGAGCUAAUACCGGAUAAUAUAUUGAACCGCAUGGUUCAAUAGUGAAAGACGGUUUUGCUGUCACUUAUAGAUGGAUCCGCGCCGCAUUAGCUAGUUGGUAAGGUAACGGCUUACCAAGGCAACGAUGCGUAGCCGACCUGGGAGGGGGAUCGGCCACACUGGAGCUGAGACACGGUCCAGAGUCCUACGGGAGGCAGCAGUAGGGAAUCUUGCGCAAUGGGCGAAAGCUUGACGGAGCAACGCCGCGUGAGUGAUGAAGGGCUUCGGAUCGUAAAACUCUGUUAUUAGGGAAGAACAAAUGUGUAAGUAACUAUGCACGUCUUGACGGUACCGAAGCAGAAAGCCACGGCUAACUACGU